UGUGCCUCAUUUGCAUAUGUUCUUGUGCAAGAAAGUGCAAUGUAGAUGUAGCCACAGUUUUUGGAACACUGCAAAACAUGAAAGCUAUUCUUGUAUCCAGAAGAGACAUAAGGCGCUUUUAUUGCAGAUGCACAUUUAUCUUACCUUAAGCAGGGGUAAGGAGUUUUAAAUUUCUUAUUUUCCACUUGCAGUAAUCCAUGAUAAGAACUAGCAGCUUCACUGCAUACCACCCCAGUAUCUGCUAAUAUGUCCCCAAAUGACAAUUAGCUUGAUGUUUCUGCUAAAAGUAUCAGCAGUUACAUAAUUACCAUAGACUCCUCAUAGAAUCACAGAUAUGUAAGACAAGGAGGGACCAAAGUAGGUCUUCUAGUGCAGCCUUAAGCCCUAAAACAGAAGUAGGCAGGGCUCGACAAUCUAUUGAAUCUACUAGCCCGUGGCGAAUAGAUUUCAGCCCGGGUUACCCGUUUACCGGUGGCACGCGCAUGCGCAAUGCGGCUCUUGCGCAUGCGCAGAGCAGGGCUGGUGAGCGGCUUUCGCCACGGUUCAUCAAACCCUGGAAGUAGGUAUUGUCUAGAUCCGUGUUUCUAAAGCUUUUUGAUACCAGAGACCAGCUCGUGGCUUCCUAAGACAUGUCAGGGAAAUCUCAGAGACCAGCACCAGUCUAUGAACCUGUUGCAAAAUACUGAUAUAGACCAUUCUUAACAGGUGUUUGUCUAACCUGAUUUUAAAGACUUCCAUACCUCCUUAGGUAUCCAGUGCUUAACUACCCUUGCAAUUAGGAAGUUUUUUCUAUUGUUAAAUUGCAUCCAGAGGGAGACAGAUUAAAGUCCAUUGCUUCUUGUCUGUCUUCAGUGGAUAAGGAGAACAAUUUACUACCCUCCUCUUUACACCAACCUUAUAUGAACUUAAAAACUAUUAUGUUUAUAGGUCAUGUUUUCUACAUCUUUAAUCAUGGUUGGUGCUCUUCUCUGGGUUUUCUUCAUUGACUUUAUACUGUCAGGCUGUAGGGUUACCACCAGGAAUGAAGGAGGAUAGCUCACACCUAUCAUUGAGCUUUAACUUUGGCAUUCUAUACCCCAGGACUAGGCAAAAUAAGACUCAUGGGCUGGAUUUGGCCCGCAGGCCAGCGAGGAGCUUCACCUGCCUCUGCACGCUGCUCAGAUAAGCAGCUGCAGGGCCCUGUUUGUCUAUGAACAGAUUCAAGCUCUGGGGAGAGGAGAAGAGGCUGCCCCCACCCCAGCACAACCAGACAAUUGGAGCUGCCUAUUUGAAGAAUAGGCAGCGUGCGAAGUAUCUCUUUUCCCUCUUCUCAGGCUUGCAGUUAUUCAUAGACACACAUGGGCCCUGAAGCCGGUGCAUGAGUUGUGGAAGCCUCCCUGAGAAACCUACUGGGCUGCUGGCUAGGUAUCACCCAGCCAAACCCACUGAACAAAGGAUUAUUCUCCCAACAUCUAAAUGAAUGAGAUACAGACUAAGAUGGCUACCUCUCUGAUAUAAAUCAACCGUACUUCAAUCAGUUAAGCAACCACAAGUGAUCGCUCCAAAUCAAGCUUCACAUAAGCAAGUUGGAAAAUGGGCAGCUCACCACUUUCAGAAACAAUGCUCCAAAACUACAGAUUCAUAAGUUAUUUGAUGUCAGAGAGGAAUGUAGUUAUUACUGUCACAUAAGUGUUUUCCUUUGUGUGCUCUUGACAGAUAUAAAUAGGAAUGUGAAGCUAUUCAUAAUAGCUCCUAAAGCAUUGAUCAAUCAGCUGUUUCAGUAUUUGAUUUAGCCACAGAGAAGAAACAGACAGAAUGCAAGACAAUCACGAAGAAUUUAUCCAAGGCAUUUUAGAUGUGUGCAGAGACCAAUAUGACUUAUGUUUGGAUGAAGGUUAAUUUGCAUUAUUCUCCAAUUUUGUCAUAGUUGCUAUAGUAUUCUUAACCAUUUGGUUUUUUGUAAGCAUAUGUUCUGAAAUUACUCUCAUAAAAUGACACCUGGCAGUAGAGUGUACACAAGAUGCUUCCCUUUAUCUUGGAAUUAAAUGCAUUUCCUCAUGUCAUGCAGAACUACAUUAACUAUAUCAGAACUAAGAAACUUAAGAGAGUUAAUGGAUUCUGCUGGACACAAGGCAAGUUCUUAAAAUAUAAAGUGAAUAAUAAAAACUGCUUUUAGUUAUGAGAAAUCAUUUACUUCUGGUAUUUGCCACUCCCUGCAAUACCUUCACCCUGUCUCAAUGUUUGAUAAACUUUACUAAUAUAUUUAACUAUCUUCUAGAUUAGGUUAAUAAUGGUACAAUGACUACCAAUAAUUGAUCUGCAAAAGUAGAACAAUGCCCAAGGCAUAUAGGUAGCUGUAUAUCAGCCCCUAUCUAUCUUAAUAUGGCAAUUCUCAUCAGCAUCACAUCUCAUUUGCAAAUACAGGCUGAGUGCAAUCUCACCGCUUGCAAUUUAUAUACCACAGGAAAUCAUAUGUUAAAAGGUGAGUAAUUCAAGAAAUGAUGGUACGCACAGACAAGUUCAGCUCUCUCUGCCAACAACCAUAUGUAGGUUUUCAUUUUCUAAUGGAAUGCAAUUAUUUUCACUUUAAACUUCAUGUUUCUAAUGAAAAAUACUCAGCAGUUCUAACAGAUACAUUUAACUGUUUAGAUGUAUUAUUAGGGAUAUUUAAAAAAAAGCAACAAAAAAGUGAUUUUUCAAAUGUACAAUUUAUAAUAAUCCAAACCUAUUGAUCUGGUUGAUCUAGCACAGUAUCUUGCCUUCUGCAAGGUGAUCUGCAUCAGAUGCUUCAAAAGGAAUGAACAGAAUGGGCAAUGUAUCUAGUGUUCCAUCAUUUGUUCUCCAAUUCCAGUAUCUGGAAGUCAGAGUCGACAGUACUGGUUUGUUUGCUGCCCUUCCCUAACCCAGGGCCUGGGCUACUCUAACUAAUUGUCUGUUUGCUGCCUCUCCCUGUUCCUUGGCCAUGGCCUUCUAGAGUCAGUACUGUUGGCUGAGCCUGAUACAGGCCUAAGACCCAGGACUACAGGACUCAAUGGACCUAGGUGGAGUGGCUGCCCACUGACCCGGAGGGGGAAGAGCCCCUCUGUGAGCCCUGAUAGGCUACAAAGAAUAUAUUCCAGGACAAAUGGUUCAUUGAUUAUAUUAAAGAAUGUU